rnacentral:rRNA from 1 species
GACGAAGGGGGCUAGCGUUGUUCGGAAUUACUGGGCGUAAAGCGCGUGUAGGCGGUUGUUCAAGUCAGGGGUGAAAGCCUUGAGCUCAACUCAAGAAAUGCACUUGAUACUGGAUGACUAGAGGACCGGAGAGGAUAGUGGAAUUCCCAGUGUAGUGGUGAAAUACGUAGAGAUUGGGAAGAACACCAGUGGCGAAGGCGGCUAUCUGGACGGUUUCUGACGCUAAGACGUGAAAGCGUGGGGAGCAAACAGG